AAAACGAGAGCACAAAACGAAACAAAGAGAGGGCACGGAGGAAAAGUAGACAAAGGAUUCGAGCGUACACCUUCUUCGAAUCUUUGGAUCAAAACCUUCGAAAGGCAAGUUUCCCGUUUGUUUCGAUCUUUUCUAUUGCAAGUGUUUCGAUUCCUUUCUAUUGCAAAUGUUUCGAUCCUUUCUAUUGCAAGUUUCCCGCUUGUUUCGAUCCUUUCUAUUGCAAGUGUUUCGAUUCCUUUCUAUUGCAAAUGUUUCGAUCCUUUCUAUUGCAAGGUUCCCGCUUGUUUCGAUCCUUUCUAUUGCAAAUGUUUCGAUCCUUUCUAUUGCAAGUUUCCCAAUCGUUUCGCUUGUUAUUGUUCUAAUCUUUCCUAUUGCAAGUUUCCUGAUCGUUUCUCCUGUAAUUGUUCUAAUCUUUCCUAUUGCAAGUAUCCUGAUCUUUCCACACUGCAAUUUUAUCUCUACAUUUGCUUUGAAUAUGAGGAACUUUGAAUUGUUCUAGCCUUGCACUUGAUAUAUCUCCUGUUUAGACGUAACGAUUCGAAUUAGUGCAACUUCCAAGAUUCUGACCUUUCUACCUUGUUCUGAUUAUAACUUCAUGUAUUGACAUCUGAUUUGGACAAAACUUAUUUGAUCAGAAUAUAGACUCAUAAACCUUUGUUUUGAUAGCUUAUUUUAAGAAUUCGGAGUAAGUUUGUCUGCCCAAACUUCUGUUUCAAAUGAGCCUACAGAUUCUGCAAAACAGGGAUCGUAAUUUCUGACUUUUUGAUACUGAAUUGCUUAUAAGUCCCUGUUGCAAACAUUGAUUUAUUCAAAGCUUAUUUCAUUGGAAACUAGACUCAUAGAUCUUUCUUUUGAUAUAUGGAUUGAAAGAUUUGGAAUCCAAACACCUGCCCAAUUAUCUGUUGAAUCUGACAUUAUGAAUUCUGCCAAACAGAGAAUUUGUUCUACGACCCUUGUUACCAAAUUAUUUGUAACUCUCUCUAUUGGACAGUUCAAUUCAUAUGAAGCCUGUCUUAUCUGAAAGUAUAAUCCAAUGAUAUAUUUCUGAGUAAAUUGGAGCACGAUUGAUAGUUUGAAUCAUUUGUUCAAUGUGCCUCUUGUAUUCUGCCAGAAAUCCAGCUUUGGUCGAUUUCUAAUAUUCUGGUUUCAUUCAUUUGGAAAUUGAUAUCCUUUAGCUUUCUUAUUCAAUUGAGCUUUAUAUUACUGCUUUGAAUUCUUGUAUGCUCUUGUCCUUAAAGUUAUUUGCAUUCUUGAAAACUAUUGUGUAACGUUUAUGCUAUAUCGUAUUGACUCAUUUAGGCACAUGUGUAUCCCAUUGUUCCGCAUUUGCUUUCAAUAUGUGCUUAUUCCAUUUCCUUUCAAAAUCCGAAUACCAUUGUGAAAGAUUAUUGCUUACUUCGUAUUGACUCGUAAAGGCACAUGUACGUUUUGUUGUUCCGCGUGUGCUCUCAAUAUGUGCUACUUAUUGUUAAAACUGCCCUCUUGUACUCUGGUGUUUGUGGGAUUGUCUGGACCUUUGCCAGAAAUGGUAAAGGGUGUUAUUCUGGACCUUUGCCAGAAAUGGUCAAGGGUGUUAUUCUGGACCUUUGCCAGAAAUGGUAAAGGGUAUGUGCUUAGAGCCUGCGAUGCUCUGUCGGCCCCCUCUGGCUUCACCUAGACGUGGGUGGAUGGAGCUCCCAGACGUGGGAGACUUUUGUCAGGUGGUCAUUCAGAAAUGGAUGAAUCACAUUCUGACUGAGAUCCCACUACACCUUCUAUAUGUUUGAUAUGAUAUCCAGAGCUUUGGUUAUGUGUUUCUGUACAUGCUUUGGAUAAGAAUGAUAUGAUUGCAACGUCAAGGACGACGUUUGAGCUUCUGUACGGUAUUUGUUUUUUAUAUGCUCUGAAAUGGUUCAUUCUCUGUUGAUAUGCUUCGAAAUGUUUCAUAUGCCGUUGAUAUGCUUCGGAACAUUUCAUACGCCAUUGAUAAGCUCCGAAACAUUUCAUUUGUUAUUGAUAUGCUUCGAAAUGUACCAUUUGCCAUUGAUAUGCUACGGAACAUCUCGUACGCUAUUGAUAUGCUCCAAUUACUCUGUGCUCCAUUUGUUAUGAAUUAAAUAUGUUUUGAAUGACAUGAUACAUAUGAUUUUGUAUCUAAUGAGAUGGUAUCCUUGAGAAUUCUUGUAUUCUGCCUUGCAUUAUGAUACCUUACUUGUUUGAAACCAUUCCUUUUGUUCUGAAUAUGCUUUGUCACUUGCUGAGUUGUUUUUAGCUCAUUCCGUUGUUAUAUAAAUCUUUCAGGUCAGCUUGUCACCAUUUGAGAUGUUUGAUUUGGGCUGAGGCAGUGGAUAGCUAUUCAGAGUUAUGGGCAAGUCUUGUUGGUUGUUAUGCUAUUGUUGUAUAAGCAUAUUUUGUAUGUAAUGAAAUGUUGUCGAUGAAUCGAAAUGGAUAUACUGUGUAAAAGUGUUAGAAGAUCUCUCUUAUUUGGAAUUUCGGAAUGUUAAGUCUAAUUUAUGACGAUAUGAACUUGUGGUGAAUAGUUGGAGUUCUGAUUGUAUAAUUUAUUUAGCUUGUGGAUUUAUAAAUGUUGUUCAUGUUUGUCAAGUUGGCUUGGGUUGCCAUAAAUAUGAAUUAUCGAGUGAUGUGAUAUAUGAUUAUAAACUGCACAGGUUUUAUAGAUGUGAAUUUGAUAGAAUGUUUUCAGUGUCCUCAAAUGUUAGUUUGGAUCCUGGAUUAGUUUGUGAUGAAAAUUUUAAGAACAUCGAUAUUAUUUGAGGGGC
rnacentral:lncRNA from 1 species